GCAAAAUAGUAGAUACAUUUUAUUGAGAUUUAAGACUUUCCCAUCUCUAUAACUAUAAGGUUAUAAGUUUUUGUUCACGUCGCGGACCUCGGCACUUUCUUUUAAAGAAAAAAACCUCUCUUUCUCAAACACACACGCACUGUCACACACACAGUUGUGUUACUGAAUCAUAUUGCAUGCUGCGCUGCGAUUGAACCCCGGACACACUCGAUGAAUGCGAAAAGCUCUUCGCCACACUCACCUGAUGCGUUGAAACAUAGAAUGUGCACUUCUAAUCAGGAGCUGGAAACGCGUUUCUCAUUAUUCAGCUUAGGAGAUGAUAAGCCAUUUGAUUUCAUACGUGCAUUCUAUGACGGCAUUAUAGCUGGAGGUACUGCUGGUGUUGUUGUUGAAGCAGCUUUAUACCCAAUUGAUACAAUUAAAACUCGACUUCAGGCUGUUCAUGGUGGAGGAAAAAUUAUUUGGAGGGGUCUCUAUACUGGACUAGCUGGAAAUCUUGCUGGCGUCUUACCGGCUUCUGCUGUAUUUCUUGGUGUGUAUGAACCUGCAAAGCAGAAAUUGCUAAAAACUUUCCCUGAAAAUCUUAGUGCUUUUGCUCAUCUGACUGCAGGUGCUAUUGGAGGGGCUGCUUCUUCUUUCAUUCGUGUACCAACAGAGGUUGUUAAACAAAGGAUGCAGACUGGGCAGUUUGCUUCAGCUCCUGAUGCAGUUCGCCUUAUUGUAUCUAAUGAAGGUUUUAAAGGGCUGUAUGCAGGAUUUGGAUCCUUUCUAUUGCGAGAUUUGCCUUUUGAUGCCAUCCAAUUUUGCAUAUAUGAGCAACUCCGGAUAGGGUAUAAGCUAGCGCAUGAUGUGGUGGCGCAUAGGUUUCAUCCUGCAUCAAUGUCAUCUACUUGGAAAAAAUUGAUCCUCGAGUUCGAUUUGGAAGGGCUACUCAAAGAAUAUUUCUUGAAGCUUUGGUGCAGAUUCAUUUUACUCUCUUGGCAGCUGGGACUUGAUGAGGCGAAAAGGGAACUGAAUGAUCCAGAGAAUGCCAUAAUUGGUGCUUUUGCUGGCGCAAUAACUGGAGCUAUGACAACUCCUCUUGAUGUGAUAAAGACGAGAAUGAUGGUUCAGGGAUCAGCAAACCAGUACAGAGGGAUUUUUGAUUGUGUUAGGACUAUAAUAAGAGAAGAAGGUACUCCUGCUCUUUUGAAGAAGUGUCAUGUGGAUAUGUCUUGUGGGAAAUGAUAGCGAGAUCAAUGUGUCUUUGACUAAAUCGAAGAUAAAAACCUGUCAUAAUCGCUUGGCUUGGGAAUCGAACACUGUGGUACACCAAGUGUAAUUGCAAUACAUUGAGUGCCCCAAAAUGUGGCAUGCUUUGAGUAUGCAUAUAUAGACACACAAGUGAAAAAUGUAUAAUUGC